rnacentral:lncRNA from 1 species
AUCAUGUCCUCCUUUUUCAUUUUAAUCAUGGUGAUGAUUGAACUAGUCUGGCGAGGUUCGCCUGAGAAAGUGACCGGCCUUAGGCUCCGGUAGUGAUGUGGCAUGGUUCAAAGCCAUUGAUUUCUUUUAAAAUGUUUUAAUCAUAGACGUUGGUUUGGAUUACCACUUAUGUGACGCGUUGACUAAGUUCCAUCAUGGAACGCACGUUUGUGUCCACUUGAUCUGCC